rnacentral:rRNA from 1 species
UAAGGAAUAUUGCUCAAUGGGAGAAAUCCUGAAGCAGCAACGCCGCGUGGAGGAUGAAGGGUCUAUGACUUGUAAACUCCUGUAAAGAAGGAAAAAUUCCCAUUAGAUGGGAGAUGAUGGUACUUCUGGAGUAAGCCCCGGCUAACUACGUGCCAGCAGCCGCGGUAAUACGUAGGGGGCAAGCGUUGUCCGGAUUUACUGGGUGUAAAGGGUGCUCAGGCGGAUUUGUAAGUCAGAGGUGAAAUCUUACAGCUUAACUGUGAAACUGCCUUUGAUACUGCAAGCCUAGAGUAUGGAAGAGAGUGAUGGAAUAUCUGGUGUAGCAGUGAAAUGCGUAGAUAUCAGAUAGAACACCAAUGGCGAAGGCAGUCACUUGGUCCAUUACUGACGCUAAAGCACGAAAGCGUGGGUAGCAAACA